ACUGUGAGGACCCUUCCAACUGUAAACCUAUGACAUUAUGAUCUUAUUUGCACUAGAUCUAUGAAGCUAUAAUGUCAUUUGACCCUUACACCAAAACCCUGAGGGAAGUCUUAUUAUUCUCUAUUUUUUCCUCUCAGAUGAAGAGAACAUACACACAUGCAAGUAUUUACAUGGCAAAAAGUUAACUUUCAAUUUCACUGAUCAAAGUUGGAAGGGAGCCCAGAGGCUCUGAACUCAUCCCUGAACCCCAAUACCUCUCCAUGACUCACCUGACAAAGUUUUGCUUCAUUGAUGAUUUUUGGCUACCACAUUUUUGUUGGAAGACCUCGAGUGAGGCCUACCCUUUCCCACUUUCCAGGAUCACCAGUUCUACCACUGGGCAGCUCUAACUGUUGAGAAGCAAAAUGAGUGAUUUAAAGCACAUGACCAGAGUCCCAGAAUUUGCAAGCCAGAACAGAAGUCAGCAGCCAUUUUGACCAACCCACAAAUGAACAAUCUCUCCACAAUAACAUCCACUUCAAUGGUCGUCCCACCUCUGCUUUUGAAGUUUUCCAAGGAGUGGAAGCCCUCACCCUCUUGAAGAAGUCCAUUCCACUUCUGGGAAGCUGUCAUGCUUAGGAAGGUUUGGUGGUGGUGGUGGUUGGUGAUUUGCUUUGCUUUGUGUUCCUGACACAACCAAGGCUAAAUGCACCUCCUUGUCUCUUCUUCCCUGGUUCUGCUGGGGAGUUGAGGACACUGUCAUGUCUCCUGUGUUUUCUCUUCUUCAGGCUAAACCUCUUCACUUGCUACAACCAAUUCUUAUAUGAUAUGGAAUCAAAUUAUUUCACCACCUCCCCACCCUUCUGCCUCCCUCUUACUUAUCGUCUUCCCCCAUUAGAAUGUGAACAUUUUGAGAGCAAUCACUGUCUCUUUUUCUGACUGUAUUUGUGGCCAUAGCACUUGUCAAAGAGCCUGGUACAUAAUAGGCAUUUAAUAAAUGCUUAUCACCUCGAUGACCAUUCUCAUUACCCUCCCAUGGAGUCUCUCUAGUCUAUCCAGUUCAAUUCUCAAACUGCAGUGCCCAGAAAUGAAGACAGGAGUCUCCAGAUGGGGUUUGAAAAAGGGAGAAUUCAACAGGAGCAUUCCUUCUGGACAUGGUGCCUCUCAGUGAAGCUGAAGACCCCAUUGGUAUUGUGGCUGUCACAACACAGUUAACUCAUAUUGAGUGUGGAGUGUAAUAAAGCUCCCAGGUCUUUCAUCUAUCUAUCUAUCUAUCUAUCUGUUUUGCAUUUUUGAUGGAGUUGUGAACUGAUCCCAGGUCUUUUUCUUUUUUAAGAACAAUUGUUGCUUCCCCUUGUCUUCCAGAUUUAGAGCUAUGAUCCUGUGAAGGAGUACUGUUCUUGGAUUCAGAAGACUUGGAUUUAGGUUCCCACUGAUCAGCCAUCAGCUAAAUUUACCUGUGGAAGACAACACACAUAUUUCUCAGUCUGUGGCCUGAGGAUGCAACAUAAGCAAAGAGCAGGUGAAAUGAGGAAGAAAAGGGAAAGCAAUCAAAGGAGAAAGAUGUGGAUGCACAAGGAGCUCCCUCAGUGACCAACUCAUUUACAAAUUUUUUAAAAGAGCACAUUAAGAAGGAACUGGAAGACAGUCUUACAGAUGGAUUACAGAUUCAUACACUGUGAGUGCCAUGUGGUUCCAGAGUAUCCUCAUGCCCAUCCUCAUUCUGGGCAUAGUUCCUGGGCUCUCCUGUUCCCUGGCAGCUUUCUCACCCUGGAAGAUCGUUUCUCCACUGAGGUCCCAUCUUUGGACUGGUGUGUUCUUCCUGGGACCGCCAUUUUGAGCAAGUGCCUUGUCCAAUCAUGCUUAUUUCAGUACUCCUCCACUGGUCAUGCUCUUGACUCUCCAGCCUGCUCUGUUGUGCUCCUACAGGGCUGUCUUCUUCCCCUGCCCACCCUUCCUUUCAUUUCCCUUUUAUGCAUGUCUUCUCCCAUUAGACUCUAAGUACCUUGAAGGCAGGGACUGUCUUUCUUGUAGCUUGUAUUCCUAUUCCUAGUACUAAGCAUACUAAGCCUGGCAUACAGUAAGUGCUUAAUAAAUAUUUGCUGACUGCUUAACUACUAAGUGCCAGAUACUCUGACCAGUGCCCGGGGUUACUAAGACAAAACUGAAAACUUGCCCUCAAGAAUCUUACAUUUCAAACUUGUGAUUACCAUGGAAGAUAGGUAGUGCUGACAUUAUCAUACUCAUCUUAUGGAUGAGAAAGUUGAGGUUUGUACAGCGUGAAGGACUGAUAACAGAUUGAAUUUGGCCAGACAUAAGGAUGAACAUCCCCCAAAUUAGAGCUAUCCCAAAAUGGGAUUGAUAGCUGGGGAGGCAUCCUAGGUUUCCCAUUGCUAGAUGUCUUUUAACAAAGACUAGAUGGCCACUUUCUGUCUAUAUUAUGGAAAGGAUUCUCAAGGAGAUAGGGAUUCAGACCUCUGCCUUCUUAAUUUCCUUUGAUUUCUGAGGUUGUGAGAUCCUGUGCUUAGUGAAGCAAUGGAUAGAAUACUGAUCUUUGGAUCAUGACAACCUGAGUUCAAAUAUUGCCUCAGAUGCUUACUAGCCACGUGACCCUGGGCAAGUCAUUUAAUAUCUCUGUGCUUCAGUUUUCUCAAAUGUAAAAGGAAGGGUUUGAACCUAUUGAUUUCUAAGCUCUAGAUGACAAGUUCUUAACCUGUCAUGGAUAAAGGGAUCCAUGACCUUGUAAAGGAAAAAAAUAAAAUUUUGUUUUCAUGAA